rnacentral:misc_RNA from 1 species
GGCGGUUUAAGCCUUCUCAUCAUUCGUCGAUCAUUUUAUCGGGCAACAAACGAGGGCCAAAACCCAUUUUCCAGGGAGGCAUAACAGGGGACAGGAAAAAGAAAGCAAAAGAUGUCGGGCAUGGGAGACGGGUACGUGGGCACGGCCCAAGACGCCGUGAGGAUCCGGCGGUUAGAGAAGCAGCGAGAAGCUGAGCGUCGCAAAAUCCAAGAGCUUAAGACCAAGUCCGCCUCCGCCAAGGGCCAACCUGGCCUCCUCCAAUUCGGGUCAAGCACCUCAGAGAUUCUUGAGACUGCAUUUAAGAAGGAGACUGUGGGUUUGGUUACAAGAGAGCAAUAUGUUGAGAAGAGGGUUAAUAUUCAGAAUAAAAUUGAAGAGGAAGAAAAGGAGAAGCUACAAAAGUUACGGCAAGAGGAGGAGGAGCUUCAGUUGGAAAAGCGAAAGAAGAGAAAGAUUAAGGUGAAUCCUCGAUUAUCGUUUGCUGAUGAUAUUGAGAACGGAAGUGAAGAAGAGGACGCUGAAGACAAAGGUUUAGAGUCAAACAGAUUAGUGCAUGGAAAAUUUGGCAAAGAUCCCACGGUGGAAACAAGCUUCUUGCCUGACAGUGAGCGGGAGGCAGAGGAGCAAGCUGAGCGUGAAAGAUUGCGGAAACAGUGGCUUCAUGAACAGGAACAGAUUCGAAAUGAGCCCCUUGAAAUUACUUACAGCUACUGGGAUGGAGCAGGCCAUAGGAGAGUGAUCCAGGUACGCAAAGGUGAUACCAUAGGAGAGUUUCUUAGGGCAGUUCAGCAGCAACUUGCACCUGAGUUUAGGGAAAUCAGAACGACAUCUGUGGAGAAUUUACUUUAUGUGAAAGAAGAUCUCAUCAUUCCCCAUCAACACAGCUUCUAUGAGCUUAUUGUUAACAAGGCUAGGGGCAAAAGUGGACCAGUAAUCCUCAAUUCCUUAAAACUCUCUCUCAAUGCAUUUUAUUAUGAUGAUGGUAAUUUUAGCAACAUUCAUCAGAUAAGCAGUGAAAGAGCAGUAGAAACAUUUUUGUUGUAUUGACCAUGGGGGGGAAGAAAGCGUUAAUUUUCAAAUGUGGUGGACUAUCUGAUCAUAUAUCUUUUCCCUGCUUAAUUUUGGUUGCUAUUUGCUUUUUUUGGCUGAGCUCCUUUCCUACUAAGUGGAUAAGCUAUGUUGGUUGUGGAUUUUCUCUGCAACUCAUAACACUGUGGCCUUCCAAUGUUUAAUUGCAUAUGACUGGGAUACCAAGUCCUUAUACUAGAAUCCAAUGGUUUUUUUCUCUUUUUUAUUUUUUUCCAGCUAUUUCACUUUGAUGUGCAUGAGGAUGUGCGGACUAUAGCUGAUGCUACAAUAGAGAAGGAUGAGGUAUAUACCUACAGUAUUCAAUUUUAGCAGUUGUCAGCAUUAAUUAAGGGAUUGUACCAGAUUUCAUGCCCAAUCAAGUCCUGGGACAUUUAUGAGCUCAAGCAAAAAUUGAUUUUUUUUUUCAAUUUAUUUUCAACAGUCUCAUGCAGGUAAAGUUGUUGAGAGGCACUGGUAUGAGAAGAACAAACACAUUUUCCCUGCUUCAAGAUGGGAGAUAUAUGACCCAUCAAAGAAGUGGGAGCGUUACACCAUCCAUGGAGAUUGAUUUAGUAGCUGGAUUUGUUUAUUAUUUCACAAAGACGUGGGAAGUUUGUGUUAUCAACUGUAUGAGCACUAGUUUUGUACUUUUUUUUUGUGUCUUUUCAUUUCAGUAUCAUGAUGUAUUUAAGUGCAGUUGGUAGUGGAUGGAGUUAUAAUGAUUUAGUCAUUGAUCAUGAAUCUUCUACUUGGCAUUUUGGUCAAAAAAUACAUCUUUUACUGCUGCAAGAAUUCAGCAUAAUUAAUUAGCAUGCUAUAAUCAACAUCCUUUCUAUGUCAAGACUAGAGGUCUAGAGCUCAUAGUUGAUUGCUCAUAAUUGAAGCUGCUUUACGUUUGUACUCUUUCUGGAUUCAUAUAUUGAAUGGUAAUUUUUUUCUGUGAUUAGCCUUCAUUUUGUUCCCUGUAGACACGGUCGUUUCACGAGCUGAGCUGGGUUCAGAUAGUUUAUUUCUUUAUUUAUUCUUGAGAGCUGAGCUGGGUUCAGAUAGACGUGAAACCUUGCGGCCCUACGCGCCAAAAAGCUCCAAACCUCAACCUGAAGCUAGUAGGUCUC